rnacentral:lncRNA from 1 species
GGCUUUGUCUUUGAUUUUGGAAGCACGGACUCUCUCCUGACUCGUACAGAUGCAGGAACCUGCAGAUAAAGUACGAAGAAGCUUCAGGAUAGAAAGGGUAUGUUACUAACCUGCAUAGAAAGCAAGAUGCUAAUUCCUUCGUUUUAAGAGCUAUGCAAAGUAGUACAUGACUCUGUAUACAUGUAGUGUGCGUGCACAAGAUUAGGUCAUAGGUGUCUGCAAUGUUAUAUCUAUUGUUUGCUUGGCCUUACAGCUCUUCAUUCGAGUUUAAAAGAAUUUAUACUGCAUAAACUUAAGUAUUUCUACUAGAGAAAUUUUAAGGCUUCCAGUGUUAAUGCUUGGCUGAUAAAUUGAACCAAAUACCUCAAUCAUUCCUUGAAUAGUUUUAAAUAAUAAAAUUGAAGGUUUUCAACCAGCCUGGUAAAGAAACACCUAAUUUGAUAAUUUUGACGAGCUGAAAUGUCAAAUAGUAAACUACUCAGCACCAUCAGAUUAACCCAAGCAUGGCUCAUAUAAUGAGCAAAGAGAUGAAUAAAGAGAUCAGAAAACAAGAAAGAUCAGAGAGAAUUGUAGUUCUAUCUAAAUGAGUUUCUCUUCUUCAACCCCUAGGCCCUAACUGUUGUAUGAGUUUUGAGAAGCUACGUGAAAAAUUCAGAUAAGAAGAAAUUCAGAGAAGAAAUCCCAGAAAAUCAUAAAAAAUAACUUGUUAAAGUUGUAUUCUUUAAUGAAAAAGAAUGCGGAUGAUAAAAGAGUAGAGAUUUGUAGUCAAUACAAGGAACAUAAAAUUUGGGACUGUGAACUAUGUAUCCGUACUAAAAGUAGCCAGUCAAUAUGAGGUACGACUUUUGCCCUAGGAUCUGCAAAGUGAAUUUUACCAACAAUUUCAAUAACAACGAAAAAUAUAACCAGCAAAGAGAGACUCACCAUAGCUGUAAGCUCUGGAGUAUGUUGUGCCAGAGGCCUCUUUACAACAGUUGAUGCAGCUGAUUUGACAUAUGAUGGCUUUGGAGGGGCAGGUUGUCUAAAAGCAAGGUCCCCUUGUGGGAUAAGUGGUGAACCAGGUGGAAGUUGUGGUAUCAUCAUAGGAGGUGGUCCAAAAGGUGGUAAUUGCAUUGGUGGGACCAUGACUCCUGGUGGGGCAACUUGCCCAGGAAUUCCAGGAGGGGGUAAUGAUGGCCGCAUAUCAGGUGGAGGUGGAGGAAAACGUAAAGUGCUUGGAGGCAGUACAUCAGCCUGCAAAUUUGGGACCAUGGCUGGUCCAGGCACUGGAGGCUGUUGCCUUAUUGGUGGUGGAGGAACCAUUUUCGAGAGAUCUUUGCUCUCAGAAGAAGUUUUGAAAUCAGAUUCCGAAGAUGCGUCUUCUGACUGAUCAUUGCCAAACUUCGGUUGCAACCCUGGCAGUGGAGGUGGAGGUGGAGGUGGAAGAAGCAUGGUUGAAGCCUAUCAAGACCAUCAAUACGUUAAGUCUUAUCGUCUAAAACGAAAUUAUUUGAAGAGACUACUUUAAUUAGAUGAAUUGUUCCAUCAAUUCUAUACUUCUUUCCUUUGCUAGAUAACUAAACCUGCCCUAAUUCCUUCCAGAUCCUGACAUUUGUUUUUAAAUGCUCUCAAUUGAUUACUUAAGUGAAUGAGAAGCAUACAUAAGUUGAAUCUCUGAAGGCUUCAUCAUCUGACUUUGCAGACUGACCUCUCUCCUUUUCACUCCCAACAGUCCCUGGAGGAGGUGGUUGAACAGAUUGCUUGAGGGCCGGGGGUGGAGAAAGUGGAGGCCGAGUUGCAAGUAGUUCUUUUGGUGGGGGGCCAGGAGGAGGUGGAGGCAGUGGAGGUAAUGGUGUAGUGAAGUCUGUCAUUGUAGGCUUUGGAGGCAUUGGGGGUGGAGGGGGUAAAGGCGAAGAUGCAGGCAUAAUGAUGACAUCUCCAGCAUCUAGGCCAGCACUAGGCAUAGGAGGUGGGGUGGAGGGGGGACAGUUAAAGAAGCAUCCUCUGAUUCAGACAUCAAUGAUGAUGCAGCAUUACUGGAUGAAGCUUCCCGUAGGGGUGUCCUAGGUCCUGCAUGUCAAAGUAACAAAAAGCAGAGUAAGAGAAGGGGUGGGGGUUGGGCAGUGUGCAUGAUGAUUAGCCGAACCGAGCCGAGUCGAGUCGGUUGGCGAGUCAAAACUUGAGGCUCGAGCUCGGCUCGGUUAAAAUUGUCGAGCUUUUUUUUGGGCCCGAGGCAGGCGGAACAAAAGCUCGUCCAAAAAUUUUAGGCUCGACCCGAGCUAUCGGCUUAGGCCUUUCUGAGCCGAGCCGGACCGGGCCGGCCCCUUUUUCUCACUCACGCUCUCUCUUUUUUUUUUUCAUUUUUUUUUUAAAUAAGCUGCUGCCUAAAAAAGGCAGCAGCUUCCUGCCUUAGUUAGGCCUUAACCGUUGCCUUUUAAGGCAGCGAACUUGUUGCCUUAAAAGGUAGCAUUUUAAUUACUGCCAUAAUAUAUUUAUUUAUUAUUUUUUUUUUAUACAAGGGCUCGUGGGUCGGCUCGGGCAAAGCCCAUGUCUCAAAAAUAGGGUUUGAAUCUAUCGAGCCCCGAGCCGAGUUGGCUCGGGCUUUUUGCGGCCUGAGUGAUGAGCCCGAUUGACAUCCUAAUGAUGAUGAAUCCGGAAAAUAGAGAAAGGGAGAGAGCGAAAAUAGCUAUGUUUUUAGACAGAUCUGGGAGGCAUAACCUGCGAUUUACCUUCCUCACGAUACUUCAGGGUAGGAGCGGUGGGGGACCCUUAAGAUUGGGGUUCAACCUUUUUUUUGAAACAAAUGAACCCAAAUACUUAAUAGGCAAUAGAUGGCCCACAUAUAUACAUUGAAAUGCCUUAAUGUCACAAUAUUCUGUUCGUACUUCACGACCAACCCAUAAAUCUAUUUCUUUAACAUCUGCACAAAGUAUUUUAUGCUUGUUGCAAUUUUAUUUUUAUACUUUGCAGACCGGAGAAUGAGGCGAUGGAGCUCAAGCUAACUUCGAGUGAUCUGAACAGUGGGAGAAAGGCAGCAGGAGGUGAGUUGUUUCAUUCUUUACCUACCGGAAAACCAGGCAAAACAACAUCCGGGUCACCAGUUAAACUGUCUAUUUAAUGCUUUUUAACCAGUUUUGUUCCUGUUUUUGAACCUGUGCUUUCUACCAAUAACCGAACCGGUUUUCCAGCCGAUUCUUGAUUUUCCCUGUUGAACUGGCCAGUCCAAUCCAGUCCAGUUUUUCAAACAUAGGAAAAUGGAGAUAGUUAUGGUGGUAUAAGUAUGAAAUAGAACCGAACCCACUAUCAGAAUAAUUGAAGUCAGUUUGGCGCCAAAUGUUUCUGAUUAGUUUGCUUAGCUGUCAAUUAGCUGGAUGUUAUAAACUAUCUUUCCCGCCAUUUUUCUUCUUCCUAUUUAACGUGAUUGUACAUAACAUUUUCAGUAAAAUGAGAUAUUUUUCCAUUUCUCAAUUUCCUCUUCUCCUUUAAUAUGGUAUCAGAGCAGAGGCUUCCUUAGCUUCGCAAUUUGCUCAAUUUGAUCCGUCAUGGCAAAAAAGGGAGAUCUAGCUUCAUCUUCCAUUUUGGCUUCAUCUUCAUCAAUGAAUCAUUCUUCCAUUGACGAUGUCUCCAGUCCAUAUUACCUUCAUCACUCAGACAGUCCUGGUAUAGUUCUAGUUUCACAGCAGCUAACUGGUGAAAAUUAUGCUACCUGGAAUCGAGCCAUGACCAUAGCAUUAAAGGUGAAAAAUAAAUUCGAUUUUGUUGAUGGAUCGAUUACUCGAGCUGAAGACAACACUGAGUUGCUUAAUGCCUGGAUCUGCAACAACAACAUCGUCAUCUCUUGGAUUCUUAAUUCCGUAACAAAGGAAAUUUCAGCUAGCAUCAUCUAUUCGGAAUCUGCUCACGAGAUUUGGAGAGAUCUCAAGGAGAGAUUUCAGCAGAGGAAUGGUCCUCGAAUCUUCCAAUUAAGGCGUGAAUUGAUGAAUUUGACACAAGGACAGUCAUCUGUUAGUGCUUAUUUUACCAAAUUGAAAUCAAUUUGAGAAGAAUUAAGCAAUUAAAAGCCAUCAUGUACCUAUGGAAAAUGCGAAGGUGGUGGUAACAAAAAAUUGGCAAAUCAUUAUCACAUGGAGUAUGUCAUGUCAUUCCUAAUGGGAUUGAAUGACUCUUAUGCACAGGUCAGGGGGUAGUUGCUGCUCAUGGAUCCAAUUCCAUCGCUAAAUAGGGUGUUUUCACUCAUUUCACAGGAGGAACAUCAGAGGUGUUGAUUAUUGAAGACUAUUGGUUUUCUUCACAUGAUGAAAUAUGAAGAGUGUUGGAGAGGAAGAUGAAGAGAUGGAUGCAUUCACCAUCAUUAUUAGUCAUUAUUAGUCUUCGUAAUUGUGUGACUCUUAGUAGUCUUAUGCUAUCCUAUAAAUAGGUUUGUCAUGUACUCAAAUCAAAUAAUUCAUAUAUAAAAAAAAGUUUCUCUAAAAAUAUGCUUUGUUCUGUUCUUAUUACUGAACUGAUCCGGUCUUGAUAGAAUCUAUCCUUAUUUCCGCUGCAUACUAAAAUCACAAUCAGAACAAACAUUUGGUAUCAGUGCUCUCCUGAUCUUAAAGGCCUGUGAGAAAGAGGAAAAAUGGCAAAUUCUACUCUAGCUUCAAUGCCUAUCCCCAUGAUGUUUGGAGGCGAAAACUAUGAGUAUUGGUCUGUCAGAAUGAGGGCUUUCUUGAUGGCACAUGAUCUAUGGGAGAUUGUUGAAGAAGGUUAUACUCCACAGGAGUUGGAUGCAGACCCUACUGUGAAUCAAAUGAGGCAAGAGAAGGAUCGUAGAAUAAAAAAUAUGAAGGCUCUUACCUUCUUGCACUCUUCUGUCACUGAGACAAUUUUUCCCAAGAUUGUGGCUGUUACAACAACAAAAGAGGCUUGGGAUAAAUUACAAGAAGAGUACAAAGGGUCUGAGCAAGUGAAAGCAGUAAGAUUGCAAACUUUGAGCAGAGAGUUUGAAAAUCUAAGGAUGAAGGAUGCUGAAUCCGUAAAGGACUACUCUUCUAGAGUGGCUAAUGUGGUGAAUCAGCUUAAAUUGAAUGGAGAGGACGUACCAGACAAAAGAGUGGUGCAAAAAAUGUUGAUUACCUUACCCGAAAAGUUUGAUGCUGUUACCACGGCUAUAGAGCAUACAAAGGAUCUGUCAAGUCUUUCUUUAACUGAACUUACAGGUGCUUUGUUAGCCUAUGAGCAACUUGAAAAGAAAUAUGCUGUGCAUUUUCGAGAUAUGAAAUGCAAAAUCUAUGAUCCUCAUGAUAUUGAAAUUGCUAGUUUGCCUAUGCAUAAUAGAAGUUUUAGCAUUCAAUGGCAUAGCUUAAUUGCAAAUAUGUCUAGAGUUCAUGUGGAUGAAUCUGAUUUGUGGCAUAGAAGAUAUGGUCAUUAUAAUUACAAGUCUUUGUCAUAUGUGCAUUCUCAUGGCAUGGUGAGAGAUUUGCCUAAAAUUCAUGAAUCUGGAGGAGUAUGUGAGAGCUGUAGUUUGGGGAAAAUGCAUAAAGAGUCAUUUUCUAAUGAUGGUGCAUAAAGGGCAUCUGGAAAAUUGCAGCUUGUGCAUACUGAUAUUUGUGGUCCCAUGAAAACUCCAUCCUUGAGUCAUAAUUUGUAUUUUGUGCUAUUCAUUGAUGACUUUACAAGAAUGUGUUGGGUGUACUUCAUGAGAAACAAGUCAGAUGUGUUCAAAAAAUUCAAGAAUAUGUUAGAGGCACAAUCUGGAUGUAAAAUUCAGACCUUGAGAUCGGAUAAUGGCAAGGAGUAUACAUCUACCAACUUCAAUCAAUUCUGUGAGGAUUAUGGAGUUCAUCGACAACUUACCAUUCCCUACACUCCGCAACAAAAUGGAGUGGCAGAAAGGAAAAAUAGAUCUGUCAUGGAGAUGGCCAGAUGUAUGCUAGCUGAGAAGGGACUUCCAAAUUCGUUUUGGGCAGAAGCAGUUUAUACUUCCGUUUAUUUGCAAAAUAGGUUGUCUACAAAAGCUGUGAAAAAUAUUACACCUAUUGAGGCAUGGUGAGGAAUGAAACCUACAGCCAAGCAUCUGAAAGUUUUUGGGUCUUUGUGCUAUGUUCAUGUCCCAGAUCAGAAAAGAAGCAAGUUGGAGCAAAAGGCUGUGAAGGGGAUUUUUAUUGGCUAUAGUUCACAGACAAAGGGCUAUAAAAUCUAUCUUCCAGAAACUGUAAAAGUUGUGAUAUCCCGUGAUGUAAAAUUUGAUGAAAGUUCUAAGUGGAAUUUUAAUGAAACCAAUACACGGCAACAUGUAGCAGUUUUUCCUCCUAUCCCAGUGGAAACUUCAACUCCAACACUAGAAGUUCAGUCUUCCGAGAUAGAAUCUAUCGCACCUACUGCAGAAAAUUCUGAAUCUUCAAGAUCUAGUUCGGCUCCUAGAGGAACUAGAUCUUUGAAUGAGAUUUAUCAGAGGUGUAAUAUGGCAGUGGUUGAAAAAAAUAUGCUUUGUUCUGUUCUUAUUACUGAACUGAUCCGGUCUUGAUAGAAUCUAUCCUUAUUUCCGCUGCAUACUAAAAUCACAAUCAGAAAUGGAGAUAAUUCAUAAAAAUCAGACUUGGGAAUUGGUACCUCAUCCUGAUGAAAGAAAAGUGAUUGGAGUGAAGUGGAUUUACAAGGCAAAAAUGAAUCCAAAUGGCACGGUGAACAAAUACAAAGCAAGGUUAGUUGCUAGAGGAUUUGCACAAGAAAGUGGUGUUGAUUAUUUUGAGACCUUUGCACCGGUUGCAAGGUUUGACACCAUUAGAUUAUUGAUUGCACUAGCAGCACAAAAGAAGUGGAAGAUACAUCAGUUGGAUAUAAAAUCCGCAUUUCUCAAUGGUGAACUGGAGGAGGAUGUUUUUGUUGAACAACCUGAAGGUUUCCAGUCUAGAAUCUAUCCUGAUCAUGUAUGCAAGCUGAAAAAGGCCUUGUAUGGUUUGAAACAGGCGCCAAGAGCUUGGUACAACAAAAUAGAUGGUUAUCUAUGCGCUAAAGGAUUCAGGAGGAGUGAAAAUGAACAUACUCUUUAUGUGAAGAGUGAUGAAAAUUCUGAUAUCCUGAUUCUAUCCAUGUAUGUGGAUGAUUUACUCAUCACAGGAAACAGUAAAAAGCAAAUUGAUUUGUUUGCUGAUAAAUUGAAGGAAGAAUUUGAGAUGACAAAUCUUGGAAAGAUGAAAUAUUUUUUGGGCAUUGAGGUUGAGCAAACAGAAAAUGGUAUUUUCAUUUCACAAAAGAAAUAUGCAAGUGAUAUCUUGAAGAGGUUGAAGAUGCAGCAGUGUAAACCAGUGGAUACACCAGUUGCGUUGAACACAAAAUUAUCCAAAGAAGAUGGAGACCAGCCAAUCAAUGAGAAGGAAUAUAGGAGUCUUGUUGGAAGUUUACUGUACUUGACAGCAACAAGACCAGAUUUGAUGUUUGCGAGAAGCUUACUUUCUAGAUUCAUGAGCAAGCCAUCACAAACACAUUUUGGAGUUGCCAAAAGGGUCCUUAGGUAUAUCAAAGGAACAAUAAAUCAUGGCAUCUAUUUUGCUGGAGUAGUUGGCUCAAAUUUGAUUGGAUAUUCAGAUAGUGAUUGGGCAGGUUCUGUGGAUGAUAUGAAGAGCAUGAGUGGUUAUCUAUUUACACUUGGUUCGGGAGUAUUCUGUUGGAAUUCAAAGAAACAAGAAGUAGUGGCACAAUCCAUAGCAGAAGCUGAAUAUAUUGCAGCAUCAUCAGCUGUAAAUCAUGCCGUUUGGUUGAGGAAAAUUCUUAAUGAUCUUGCGAAAAGUCAAGAUGAUCCUACAACUAUCAUGGUGGAUAAUCAAUCAGUCAUUGCUGUUGCAAAGAAUGCAAUUGAUCAUGGAAGAACCAAGCAUAUUAAAGUGAAGUUCCAUGCUAUCAGACAAGCUGAGAAAGAUGGAGAAGUUCAUCUCCAAUAUUGUCCAGGUGAAUCUCAAAUUGCAGAUAUGUUCACUAAAGCAUUGCCCAAAUCCAGGUUUGAAGAUUAAGAGUGAAGAUUGGAGUUUUACCCAAAAGCUUCAAGGAGGAGAAUGUUGAUUAUUGAAGACUUUUGAUUUUCUCCACAUGAUGAAAUAUGAAGAGUGUUGGAGAGGAAGAUGAAGAGAUGGAUGCAUUCACCAUCAUUAUUAGUCAUUAUUAGUCUUCAUAAUUGUGUGACUCUUAGUAGUCUUAUGCUAUCCUAUAAAUAGGUUUGUCAUGUACUCAAAUCAAAUAAUUCAUAUAUAAAAAAAAGUUUCUCUCAAAAUAUACUUUGUUCUGUUCUUAUUAUUGAACUGAUCCGGUCUUAAUAGAAUCUAUCCUUAUUUCCGCUGCAUACUAAAAUCACAAUCAGAACAAACAAGAGGGCUAUUAACCUGAAUGUUGGAUCUACUGGUUCCUUAGCCUUUUAUGCUAGAAAUGAAGUGAAGAGAACAGGUAUGGGCCAGCCACCUCACGGCAGGAAUCAAAAGAAGGAGAGACCAACUUGUACAUAUUGUGGAUAUGAAGGACAUGUGAUUGAUAGAUGUUAUAAACUCCAUGGAUAUCCACCUGGAUACAAGCUAAAAUAGAAACCUGGUUCACGCAAUUACACAGGUUUUAAUCCCCACUCAAAUAAUAAUGUUGCUAAUCAAAUCUCUUGUUCUGUUUCAAACCAAUCUCAGGGCAAUACUGGGAAUUUUAUGCAAACCUUGAACCAUGAUCAGUGCCAACAGUUGAUGAGUAUGUUGAGCACACACCUCACAACUUCUAAGAUGGAUGAUGAAGUAGCUAAUGUUGAUGAUGUGUCAGGUACAGUUUUAUCUGUUUCCAUUAAUCAAGUCCUUAAUUCUCCUAGGCAUUGGGUGUUAGAUUCAGGGGCAACUAGUCAUGAAUGCUUCAACCGUGCAUGCUUUCACACAUUAAAGGCUGUGCAAGAUGCAUAUAUUACAUUGCCUAACCAUGCCAGGAUUCGUGUGAAUUUUGUUGGACAUAUUAAACUUACUCCUGACUUGGUGCUGGAAGAUGUGUUAUAUGUGCCCCAGUUCAAGUUCAAUUUGCUGUCCAGUAGUGCACUGACCAAAAGGUCUUCUAUAAGCAUCAAGUUUCUUACUGAUGGCUGUGAUAUUCAGGAUCUAUGCAGCUUGAGGAUGAUUGGCAAGGGUAGACGGAUUGGUGGACUUUACAUCCUAGAUAGCACAAUGAAAUAUGGAUGUAAUAGUGUCAAACAUAUCUGUAAUUCUGAUUCUGUUGUAAUGAAUAAUGUGGAUUCAUAUACUUGGCAUAAUAGACUUGGUCACUUGUCUUUUAAAAGGCCAGCUGGUUUGAAGGACCAAUUACAUUUUAAAUGUAAUAAGGGUAAUGAAGAUGUCCCUUGUUCUAUCUGUCCUCUUGCUAAAUAAAGGCAUUUAUCGUUUGUUUCAAAC